UCUUGAGUGGAAAGAGGACCGACGUCCUUCCGCUCGCUGGGCUGGAGAAGUGUGGCGUGGAGAAGACGCGCUCCAUCGCUGAGAGAAGAACCCACCAAUUGGACAGUAACACCGAGAUUCUCCAAGUGGGGGGAAAUAAAAAGUAAGCUGCUUCCUUACUUCUGUGGCAAACGCAUGUUCCUGAAGCAGAGCGCCGGUAUCUAAACAGAUCACAUCACGAGUGAGGACCAGCUAGUAGCCCUUGGUUCAGGAGGCGUGGGAAAGUCUGCUCUGACAGACAAAUAAAUAGAAAACUACCAGUGGGAAAGAAGAAGCCUAGAAAGAAAUCAUGUCUGCUGCUCUAGACCCGAAGUCAGCAGCAGCUCUGAGCCAGGUUGCAGGAACGAAGAACUGUUGCCUAAUUGGGAAGCACCAGCAUUCCAGACUUCAAAAAACAAAUACAAAGAACCUUCUCCUGUUGUAUGUAUUAUGUGAAGAAUUUGGAUAUUACAUUGGUUUGCACAAGUUCCCUGGAGGAAAAAAAUCGCUCUGUGUAUAUAUCUUGGGAAGUAAGACAAUAGCAUUUCUCUUUGCAAUAGCAGUUAUAACAGAUGUGAGAAUAAGUAUAAUUGACUCUAAUUCAAUUAUACAAAAGA